CCUACGGUGGGCAGCAGUGAGGAAUAUUGGUCAAUGGGCGCGAGCCUGAACCAGCCCAGUAGCGUGAAGGAUGACUGCCCUACGGGUUGUAAACUUCUUUUAUAUGGGAAUAAAAUGUUCCACGUGUGGGAUUUUGUAUGUCCCAUAUGAAUAAGGAUCGGCUAACUCCGUGCCAGCAGCCGCGGUAAUACGGAGGAUCCUAGCGUUCUCCGGAUUUAUUUGGUUUAAAGGGAGCGUAGGUGGGUUGUUAAGUCAGUUGUGAAAGUUUGGGGCUCAACCGUAAAAUUGUAGUUGAAACUGGCAGUCUUGAGUACAGUAGAGGUGGGCGGAAUUCGUGGUGUAGCGGUGAAAUGCUUAGAUAUCACGAAGAAUUCCGAUUGCGAAGGCAGUUCACUGGACUGCAACUGACACUGAGGCUCGAAAGUGUGGGUAUCAAACAGGAUUAGAUACCCUAGUAGUC
rnacentral:rRNA from 1 species